rnacentral:rRNA from 1 species
CGGGGUGAGUAAUGUCUGGGAAACUGCCUGAUGGAGGGGGAUAACUACUGGAAACGGUAGCUAAUACCGCAUAACGUCGCAAGACCAAAGUGGGGGACCUUCGGGCCUCAUGCCAUCAGAUGUGCCCAGAUGGGAUUAGCUAGUAGGUGGGGUAACGGCUCACCUAGGCGACGAUCCCUAGCUGGUCUGGGAGGAUGACCAGCCACACUGGAACUGAGACACGGUCCAG